ACACGGUGCGCAGCGCACGGCCGCUCGCCGGGGCUGCCUCCUCGCGGUCCAGAGAACUGAGCCCUGAGCGCAGCCCCGGCGCUUCCCCGCGGAGGCUGAGAAGAACUGCGCAGGAAGAGAGCCGCGGACCGAGGCAGAGUGGGCGGGCCCGGCCACCUGGAGUGACAGGUCUCUCCACCUACCAGAACCCCGGAGCGCCAUGCAAAUCCAGCAGCUUCGCUGAGGGCCCUGUGCAUCCCUGAGAACUGCCUAGGGGUGAGAAAACCAGCAAAGAGAAAAGUGCAAUCUUGCAGGAAAUCUGCGACCACAAGCAGAUCAGAGCUCAUGCAAAUGACGGAAAAUGCAACACGAAAUGGCUCAAGCCCCAAAGAAAUUAUGUAAGCGACGGUCCCGGGGAGUCACAAGCGUGGGGCCCUGCUGGAGUCGGAUGACCAAACAGCAGCCGGAAACUCCAGGCUUAUACCCUCAAAAGUGCAAGUUCAAUUCGGACUCCUAGGCCUGACUCUCAGGGUCAGGAACUGGACCACACGGCCCGUCCUGAGCAGACCACUGUGGCCAAAAGGAUGCUGUCUUCACGCGGAUCAAGCCCAGGAGCCGGAGGUGGAGUGGAAUGACGUCACACACACUGCGGUUCUGAGGGGCUGGUUUAUUGCAGCAGGAAAAGAGAACCGAUGCGCUUUACAAAUCUGAGGGCUGCGGGUGCCGCCCCCCAACCCCCUGCCCCCCACGACAUGCCUGUGUCACUUCCCACAGUGCCAUCUGGACACGGCCAAGAGAGAGUGUUUCAGAUUACCAAAAUAUUCCUGCCUAACAGCAGAGAGGAAAAACAAAACAAAACAACCUGUGCGUCUCCUAUGUUUCUCGCCGUUCCCGCACGACAGCGUGACGUCAGCCCUGAGGCUCCCUGGCGUCGCCCCGCCCGGCCGGCCGCUUGCAGGUCAGCAUCAGCAGCAGGAACAGAGGCAGGUGCCAGAGGCUGCAGAAGAACAGCUUCCGGGAGCUCUUCCGGUCCGCGUCCCUGUAGAACCGGAAGCCGAGGUAGGAAAUGUACAGGUUGAUGGGGAGGGCGAUGACCGGGAAGGUCCACGUGGUGACAUCCAGGGCAGGGGCCGCGGCGGAGAGUGCGAUCAAAGCCAGGCAGUGGCGCAGGGCGACACGGCGGCACAGCGCCGGGUGGGUGACCGACAUCAUGCAGUAGCCGCCCCGGGAGUAGUCUUCGCGGAGGCCCCAGCUCAGGGCGUUGAAAUGGGGAAACUGCCAGGAGUAGAGGAUUCCUCCCAGAAGAAUUGCUCCUGCAGAGGUUUGAGGGAGAGUGGGGAGCAAGACACGCUGUCAGCAGAGGUUGACAGAGCCAUCGUCCCGCUGACCGGCAGCUGCCGACCCGCGCGGGGCUCCCUUGGGCCCCCCGCGCAUCUGCGCUGCCCUCUGCUCCGAGAGGGAGGUGGAGAUGGGCAGGGAGCUGAACCUCUCCAGAUCCCCCGUCCUCACCGCGGGGGCUGGAGGCCUGGCACGAGGGCAUCCGGCUUCCUGCAGCGCGGAGCACCUGUGGCUCCUGCCCACGCCCCGCCCCCCGCGGUGCCAACUCCGCCACAACAAAGGUCGCAUUCACCGAGGGCACUGUCCCGUAGGGCUUCUGGCCUGGGCUUUGGCUCUGUUUCCACCAGCUGGGCUAGUGGGUGAGGGGCUUGGGUCUGAGGUGGAAGGACACUCCCCAGCAGGUGGCAGCUCCCUGCUUGACAGAACUGAAGCCACUGCAGAGCUCCCCAUGUCACCAGGGCCUCAAGGGACCGGCCCUCAUGUCAGGGAGAGCAGGGGACUCAACAUCUUAACUCGCUUAUUCCCAGUGGCGCAGGGUAGCAGGAGGGCUGUUGCCCCCCGUCCAUUUUAACCCCGUCUCUGCUGUGCACAUACCCCUGAGUUCAUGGACACACACUCUGAUUUCAGUAGUAAAAGCAGCAGCUGCUACUGGUUGAAUCUGGUGGCAAACAGAUGGUGACGACCACCUGCCAGGUAUGACCCUGGAUGUAGAGAAACAGUGGCCAACACGACACAGCCCUGCGCUCGGGCGCCCGAGAGGCAGGACACAGCGCUGCUGCUGCUGUUCAGAGAACCAAAAAUUGGGACUGACUGCUCUGCUUGGGGAAGGCUGCCCGCCCCAAAGGUGAGCUGGAGGCCAUGACCCAACUCUGCCGAUCCUGUGAAGAGCCCAAGAGCCGUUCAGCGUGUUUCUGGGACAGCGUGGAGGCUGUGGCAGGGCUGUGGCAAGGACAGGAUGGUGAGGUCAGACGGGGAAGGGCUUUCCCCCCAGUGCAGCCGUCUCCAGGGAGAGUGGGUCACGGGGGACACGGGACCACCAAGGGGGCAGGUGGUCGGAGGCUUGGGAGUGGCAGACCCUGAGGUCUUCUCCACAGAUGGGGGACACGGGGAGCACAGUUCCCAGUGGCCAUGGGAAGGUUCUAUUUGGGGCUGUUUUCUCUGUCAGGCAUCCUGGUUAAGGCCUUGCAGCGUGCAUACCGGGAUGAUGAAUUAACUUGCCUGGGGCUACUCAGCUUCACUGGCACUGGGUACCAGCAUCAUCUAGAAGGCUAAUGCCACACAGUGAGCGAAAGGGGUAACGGGGCACUGCCGGGCGGGGACCUAAAGGCACUGGAGCGGAGCAGAGGAAGGCCUGCUGGAAGGAGAAACUGCAGUGACAUGUCCCGCUCACUAAGAUACGAGUGCUGGUACCUUAAAAAAAAAGGCUUGCUCAACUACAAACACGCAUGAUAUUUUUCUUGACAGCGAGCACCCCUGGGGAAUUAGUGGAGACAGAAGGGAGGCUUGGACCACCCAGGUACAACUGAACUGGAAAACGGGGACAGAAGGCAACUCCGUCCUAUUUUGACGGCACACAGAACCAUCUCUGGACGUUAUAGGGCCCCGCGCAGAGGAGGAGCUGGGACCGGGUCUCGGGGCAUCAGGCAGGGAGCAGCCACCAGCUCCGUGCCGUCACAUCCAGGGGACUGGAGCAGAUGACGUCCUGCAGUUAUGACGGUCAAGCUGUAUCCCGCCAGGAGCAGCAUCGGCAGCGACUUGGAAAUGAGGAGCGGACAGGUGGUCCGGGCUCAGGAGUUGUCCUGCCACUGAAACGGCCGCGAAGGAGCCAGGCUUUUUGGAUACUGUUAAGAUGUCAGGCUCCAACGUGGGACCCUGCUGGUCUCUCUCCAAAGCCCUCUUUCUUGCUGUGCCAACUGGAGUAUUCUGUUUCGCUCAACACACAUGUUCAGUUAGGCUUCUCCUUAAACUAACAUAAUUAAAAAAUUCAUUUUCAUAGAGUAGCGCACUGCUUAGUCGGUGAGAGGAAACUGGGCAGGGGUUUGGCUCCUGCUGCAAAUGAAAAGCGCUUUAGAAAUCACAGCUCAGCCUUAAUGGACUGUAAUCAGAAAACCUCUGCCCCCACACAGGUCUACUCCACGGGCUGCCACCGGCUCUGCUCCUAUAGAAGAUGGGAAACAAAUUACUGUCUCCAUCAAGAUAAGGGGGACGAGAACAGGAAGGCUGGGAUGUGGCCGGGGGCUGCCGGGGCACCCACCUUCCUUGUAGGGAAAACAAAGCCCUUCGUUUCCUGACUCGGAGGCCCCCACCUCAGCCUCGCCCCCAGACGGGUCUGUUUUCACGGAGCCGAUGUUCUGUGACAACAGGUAUUUACUGUGUGCCCACUGGGACGGGCACGGCCUGUUCUCCAGGCCCUCUGCUGGAGUCUGGCCAGGGACGGAGACAAUGCAAAGGGGGUCACAGCCCAGCAAUGUCACCUUCGGUGCAGGGCUUGUGGGGAGCACACAGGAGGAAGAGCUCAGCAGGCCCUGGAGAGAUCAGGGAGGGCUUCCUGGAAGAGGUGACCUGUGAACUCAGAUCUGAAGGUGGUCUCUGCAUUUCAAUCUGCUCACUCAAGCAUGCACUCCCUGCUUCUUUGUAAUGUGUUUUCUCAUUUUCCUACCUAACUCUCCAGAAUCUUCACACAUACGUGGUUAAAUCGUGUCCAGAAGAAAUGUCUGUUUUCUUCCUUGGAGUCAAAUGCUAGUUGGUCUGUGAGUAAGGAUAAGAGAUGUGGGGAUCUGUGAGACAGGCGGCCUAUCUGUGUGUGUGUGUGUGUCUCUCCAGAGGACAGCGGCUUCCUGAGGUCCUGAAACCACAAGCCUGGCUCGGAGGCUCCUGCAGAGACCCCCCGGGUGUCCACAGCCUGACUUCCCUCCGUCCACAGAAAACGGAGUUGAGCCCACGGAUUGUGCUGCGUGUGUGAGCAGCCGAGGAGCACGCCAAGCCCGUGGCCCCGCUCCAACUCGGGGCACAGGAGGCGAGGCGAGGCGAAGGGAGGGAAAAACUGUCAAAAUACCUCCCGACGCCUCUAGUCUGGGCUGUACCGAUGGGAGACCCUGCCUCUCGGCCCUCUGCCGGGCCCAAGCCCACCUCCAUCAUUCUGUCGGCAGCGCCACAGCAUCUUGGGCCAGAAACCCCCAAGCUGGAGCCCGGCCUCUGCACGUGCUCUUCCAAAAGCCAUCCUUGGAGCGGGGCUCGGUGGUGGCAGCCUGCUUCCUCUGCCGCCUGGAGGGUUCACGCUCAACCCUCCCUGCCCGACCCACCACUCCCUGCCAUUCACGCUCCACGCAGCUCUGGACAGCGGCUCCCUGUCCCCGUGGCCUCAGCAGCACGUCUGCUCCACGGCUGGUUUGUCUGAGCCUUGGGGGUCACGUGCUCAUGUAAACUGGGCGCCCGAGGCCUCACGGUCACAGAUUUCAAAGCCUGUCUCUAGAGGGUGAACACAAGGGAGCCUCCCCUGCACUGGCUUCUAGGGUGCGCAGAUAAAGAGGCUAGUGUAUCGACUGCGCGGCAGCAGAGGGGAAAGCGAAAAGUCCCCUGAAAAUAGGAAACAGAGCGGCAACUGCCUCCUGCCCUUGAAGAACCCUCUGGAAGUGACCUGGGAGUGAUGAAGACGGGCAGCGAGGGGCAUGGAUGCCCUCCCCCUGUGGUCCACGUCCUCCGUCCACUCGGAGUCACCGCAGUUUCAUCCGAGGGAAAGGUGGGGGAGGAGGAAGCACGACAUGAGCCCCGACUCUGAGCAAGGAGACCCCCCGUCGCUCCUUCCUGUUUCCCUGGGGGCUUCCCUCCCUCAGCCCCCACUCAAGUCCGUCUAUCACCCAAACAUGGAUUUGUGUGUUGAACAGAACUGAUUAAACGUGCCCUCCAGGCCCCACGUCUACCAGGGUCCAGCCCUCUGUGAUCCUGACCAACUCCGGGGACCCAGGGACCAGCACGGCAGGUGCACUUUGUACCAAAGGGUUGCCAAUUAUACCACCGACCUCCUGCUCCAGGCGUUUCUCAUUCACUCUUUCUUAGACCUUUGAAGAGAACCAGGCUCUAAGUACUGUUUGCUUUGCUAAUAUUCCCAUAAUGUUCCUUGUUCACUCUGUCUUUAGAAAUGGCAUUUAUCUUCAUCACUCUGGAGCUCUAAGGCUAGUUAUGGAACCGUCUCACGCAAAAGGAACUCACUCGUUUCCGAGUCUGAUUUCAAGGGGAGGCAGUGUUUUAAGGGAAGUCUUCCACGGUGCCUGGGUUAUACAGGGUCUGGUGCUUCGCAAGCUCUCAAUCAAUAUUUGUUGAAUGAACGAGUGAGUAAAUUUCCUCGUAUCUAUUCUAUCUUCUCAUCCUGGAAUAAAGGAGGUACAUACGUGGAGACCGUACUUCCCAUUCUGUAGUUUACCAGCUGGGGCGAAAACAACCUCCUUCUCUUUUUGUUACUAAAACCAUCCAUCUGC
rnacentral:lncRNA from 1 species